CAGGUAGGGAUACCCGCUGAC
rnacentral:rRNA from 1 species